rnacentral:lncRNA from 1 species
AUUCAAUGAGAAACAAUAUUCAGGUCAGGUCAAAGCCUAGAGAAAAAUGCGCAUUCAGAAGUGGGCUGCCAUCCUGCUUUUUCUGAAGUGAACAGCUGCUGGGUAUUGAAACCAGCCCUCACGGUUGGGUCCCUGCCACCAUGGCAACACUCUGGUUUCUGAGCUGGAGUGGCCAAGGCACAAUGGGGUGGUUCCAUGGCCCAGAAGCACUCUAGCUACAGAUUAGAAUGAUGACAAGAGUAAUACCUUCCUAGUGAAGAUGACUUUUAUUUCAGGACUAUAUUAAGUUUCCCAACUUCUGUCAUGAUAUAGUCCAAAGAGAACCUGGACCACGCAGACAUCAAACAGAACAUGACACUGACCCAUUCUAUCAGUGACGUUGUGCUGAUUGCACAGGACAGAUGAGAGGCUCGUAUACUAGAAGUCUUGUUAUCCACAGAAGGAAUGAUCUGCAAUGUACACACGCCAGGACAGAAAUUCUACAGUUGCUGAUAAAAUGUAAACCUAUCACCCCACCACCAGGGUCCCUGCUUCUCCUGUAAGGGAAUCAUUAUAGAAAAAAAUUAAGAGGCUUGAGAAAAUCAGAAGUUCAUAAAGGAAGAAAGGAAAGAAAUUAUAGGAAGCAGGAAGAGCUCUGGGGAGCUGUUUUCGGGAGCAAAUAUCCAGAAUGAACACCUUGACUCAUGGCUGCAUCUGCAAGGAAGAUGGGACAUCCAUUCUCACUUGUACACAGGCUAUGGGUUGUCCGGAGCCCUGAGCUGAAGACAGGCCUGCUGCUGAUCCCAGAGACAGAUGGCCAGAGUUAGGAACAGCAUGCACAAAGAAGAUCCUAAGCCUUCCUGGAGAAGUGCCAAUAUCAUCAUUUGGGGGUCUUAAAGCCAAGCUGGGGAAUAAGCGUUAUGGGGAAUGCUGAGAAGGAGAUGUUUAAUCAAGUGUGUAGGUUUAGGACUUCAGUCAAAGGGCUGCUUUUUUGCUGCUCUCAGGCAGUUUUCACUGCAUGCCUUCACCUCUGGUAUCUUCAAAGCACUCCUUGGCUUGUGCCAUUAAUACUUUACCUAAGAUUUUUAGAAAUUCUGUCUGGUCAUAUGCUACAUCCUACUUGUAUUGAAAGAACCCUUAGGAUUUCCCCUUUAUUGCUAUACAUCUCUUUAAGUCUCUUAUCUUUAGAGACUAAAGUAAAAUUUGGUCCUUUAAUAAUCAUAAUAAACAGGUAAUCAUACUUACCUGUUUCUUGAUUUGACCUGAGAACAUCUUAAGCAAAGCUUGUUAGAAAGUGAGUUAAAGCGUGGCUCUUUAGUCUGGAGCCUGUGAAGGAUGUUACAGUUGCUGGAAAUAGACAAGCAGGCUUUGUUUGCAUUGAACCACAGCAAUGUCUCAUGCUCUUCCUUGUUCUCUAUUUAGCACUUCAUCUUCAUCUAAUCUCUAACAAAGCAUGGUCUGUGGCAGGCAGUCUGUGGUAAGCACAGUGAAUCAGCCUACCCUUCUGGAAGGUGACAGCAGUGAGGAGUGUCUAAAUAUUUAUUUCAAAUAUAAUCUAUCCUGUAGUCCUCCACAUUCAAAGAUUUUCCAAUUUAAAAUAUCCAUGGCCAGGGGGUCGGUUCCAAGAUGGCCGAAUAGGAA